rnacentral:snRNA from 1 species
UAAAAUACCUGGCAGGGGUGGUUUUCCCAGGGUGAGGUUUAUCUAUUUUACCCCAGAUGUGCUGACCCCUGCAGUUUCCCAAAAUGCAGGAAACUCAACUGCAAUUUGUGGUAGUGGGGUACUGUGUUUGCACUGUCCCCUA